GUCCUUUAGAAUUUAAUUGAAGGUCUGACCUGCCCAGUGAUGAUUUUAACGGCCGCGGUAUACUGACCGUGCAAAGGUAGCAUAAUCAUUAGUCUUUUAAUAGAGGGCUGGUAUGAAAGGUUUAACGAGGAACUGGCUGUCUCAUCUUAUUUGUUUUAAAACUUAAUUUUUUAGUUAAAAAGCUAAAAUGUUAUUGGAAGACGAGAAGACCCUAUAGAUCUUUAUAUAAAAUAUUAUAAAUGAAAUUAUAUUUUUAUUUUAUAUUGUUUUGUAUUUUGUUGGGGUGACAAAAAUAAAUAAUUAACUUUUCUAUUUAUUAACCAUUGAUUUAUGAAUAUUAGAUCCAUUAUUAGUGAUUAUUAGACUAAGUUACCUUAGGGAUAACAGCGUAAUCCUCCUCCAGAGUUCAUAUUUACAGGAUGGGCUUGCGACCUCGAUGUUGGAUUAAGAUAAUAGUUAGGUGUAGCCGCUUAAUUGAUAGGUCUGUUCGACCUUUAAAUUCUU
rnacentral:rRNA from 1 species